rnacentral:rRNA from 1 species
UACGGGGGGAGCAAGCGUUGUUCGGAUUUACUGGGCGUAAAGGGCGCGUAGGCGGUCAGCACAAGUCAGUUGUGAAAUCUCCGAGCUUAACUUGGAAACUGCCAUUGAUACUAUCAGUCUUGAAUAUUGUGGAGGUCAGCGGAAUAUGUCAUGUAGCGGUGAAAUGCUUAGAUAUGACAUAGAACACCAAUUGCGAAGGCAGCUGGCUACACAUAUAUUGACACUGAGGCACGAAAGCGUGGGGAUCAAACAGG